rnacentral:rRNA from 2 species
CCUGUUCCCAUGCCGAACACAGAAGUUAAGCUUCAGCACGCCAAAAGUAGUUGGGGGAUCGCCCCCUGCGAGGAUAGGACGUUGCCACGC